CCGGGCGGGGAACCCCGGCGAGGGGCGGAGAGACGGCAGCCGGGGCUGUGCGGGGAGGGGGAGGGGAAGCGGAGUGGGGGAGAGAUGGAGCCCGAGGGGCGGCUGCGGGGACGGGAGCGAGUCCGGGCAGAACGAGGGGAGGGGGCGGAGGUGAAUGAGGCGGUGAGGCUGCUGGAGAGGGGGGCGCUGGGUCCGCGGAGAACGAGGGGCUGCAGAGGGGGCUCCAGGCACAACGAGGAGGGCUCGGUGGAGGCGGGACCGGCGAGAGGCCGCCGAGGGGGGAAAGGGGAGCACGGUCCUUCGAGGCGCUGGCCCCGCGUUGCGAAAGCCCUGGAGCGCGGCGUCCCAGCAAGAGCCGGUGCGGGAAGUCCCCGGGGCCAGAAGGGACUUUCCCUCCCGGUGGCGACCCCCGCGGCCGCUCCGCCAGCCGGGGAGGCUCCGGAGGUGGCCGGGCCGGCCCAUGCACCGCGGGCCACAGGGCCGGCCUCUGCCCGCAGCCGUGCCGCCGGCUUUCGGCCUCAGCCUGCGGUACAGCUGCGGGGUCUGGCCUCGGGUUUGCCCGGGCAAGCGGUGAAAAAACGCCCGGAAAUCCCUGUGCAGUGCGUUGGGUCUGCAUCGGCAGCUGCAGGGAGGCUUUGGGCUGGGGCACAGCAGCACAUCUCCCCUCAAAGGCUGCCCACCUCUGCAGGUUUUGAGGAGAAAUUUGCUUAGGAGAGACCCCGAAGAGACCAAAGAUUUCAGAUUCGUUUCACCAGCUGGUGUUUAUACCCUCAGGAUUGCACAUGGAGAUGAGAGUUGGUGGGAGUAAAAACAGGUGCCUGAUGCUGAACAACCCAGCACCUGUUGCCAUCCUUGUGGUGAAUAACCUUUAUCAGCAGCACAGAACCUGUUAACCAAGGGUGUUGCUGUUCCAGAGCUUACACUGGUGUAGUGUUUCUCAUAGGAGUACGGUAAGCUGGCCUGAUGUCAAGUAUUUUUGGAUUGGUUUAGUUAUGUCCAUACUGUUGUGUUAGAACCACUUGGGAGGAAAAAAGCCUUAAACCAGUGCAAAAAUAAAGCCUAGGUUACAUUUGAUUAUUAUUUGAAAUAACGUUUAUCGUGCGUAUAUGUAUGCAUAUAUAUAAUGUAUGCAACACGGUGCUUUCGAUGUGCACACAGCCUUAUUGCACCAGGUUCAGCACAAUCACAGGAGGUGUUUCUGGACCAAGAAGGACAUCUGCCCAGUUACAGAGCAAGUGAAAAUCAGGGCAGUGUGACAGAGCCGCCUCCUGUGUUAGCACUGUAGCUGCUCGUGUCAGGGUAAAUAGGCACAGCAAUGAAGAAUUUACAGGAAUCAGAACAUGAUGAAAUUAGAAGAUACUGAACUUCAAAGUCGAGACGCUCAGUUCCACUGGUGAUGGAUUGGAAAACUCAUGAUACUGGUGCGUAGAAAAUGCAAGAUACAAAGUUUCAGCCUCUCUGAAAAGUGGGUGUAAGUUGAAACAGUAGGUUGCAAUCAAAUCUAGGGAAAAAAAACCUGUAAGGGUAAUCAAAUAUUGGAAGUGCUUGGGGCAGAGACCUUCUGAGGUCCCUCCCGACAUGAAUUAUGCUGCAGUUCAGCUUUUUCAAGGGAGAAGGUUGUUAUUUUGUCACCUAUUCCAAAGAUUAGGAGGAAAACACUUGCCUAAGGUACAGGUCUGGGGUGUAUUUGCUAUUUUAUCUUGUAAAUAAUAUAAAUACUACAUGUUUAAGGACGGUGAAAAAUCUGUGUGGAAGUUGAGAGAAUACAAUUUUUUUGUUUUUUACUUGUACGGAGGUAUAUCCUACAACCUUAAGACACUGGGUUUGCUCUGAAGAAAGUGAUGUUCCAGCUUUAACAUGCCUGCACUUUAUAGUUUUCAUAUACAUUAGUAGGAAAAGUAGAAAAACUACAUGGACUUAAUUUUAUAUUUUCAACAUUGUUAUGCUACAGUCAGAGCUAAGUGGAAAAUUUGGAGCAAGAUUGCUUUUGCUGACUGUCAAAAUAUUUUGUAGAAAUGUAUGAUGAAGCCCUAGUAAUCGUAGAAUCACAUCAUAGAAUCCUAAAAUGGUCUGGGUUGGAAGGGACCUCGAAGACCAUCUAGUCCAACCCCCUGGCCAUGGGCAGGGACACCUUUCGACAGACCAGGUUGCUCAAAACCCCAUCCAGCCUGCCCUUGAAUACUUCCAGGGAUGGGGCAUCCACAGCUUCUCUGGGCAGCCUGUUCCAGUGCCUCACCACCCACAUGGGGAAGAAUUUCUUCUGUAUUUUCAAUCUAAAUCUUCCCUCUUUCAUUUUAAAGCCAUUACCCCUUAUCAUGUCACUAUAAGCCCUUAUAAAAAUUCCCUCUCCAGCUUUCUUGUAGGUCCCUUGAGGUACAUAUAGGCUGCUAUAAGGUCUCUCCGGAGCCUUCUCCAGACUGAACAACCCAACUCUCUCAGUCUGUCUUCAUGGGAGAGGAGCUCCAGCCGCUGAUCAUCUUCAUGGCCUCCUCUGGGCUCAUUCAGGCAGGUCCCUGUCCUUCUUAUGUACCGGAAAAAGCUUUUUUGGUUUCCUGUCAGUUCAAACAUUGAACUGCAAGGAAACUCAGAAAUCCUGUGUCUGCAGAUGGGGCAGCAAUGUCCUUAAAGCAAACGUCAGAGGAAUUUAGUUAGCUGUCAAACAGAAUAGUUCAUAAUACAGUUACAUUUGUAGUAUUGUAUCAGUGUACUAAAAUCAUGAAUUGCAUCUGAUUACUGUAACCUUGGAUGAAGCCAGCACUCCCCCCAGGAAAACACCACUGACUUAAGGGAAAUUUGUCCUGCGUAAGUCUUGAAUAAGAAACUGAUCCCGUAUGUUCUCGGGAAUGCCCUUAGAUGACUGUUUCCUUUUGUCAGUUCUGAAAGACAGAGGAAUUCCUGGGAAUUCAGUGUCAGAAGCUGGUGCCAGAGAAUGAGUCACUCAAGAUGUGUUUCUGAGUGUACCUGGCUUUUCCUGGAUUGCCUCUUGUGUGCUGUUCGAUUUCCUGAUAAAGCAGCUGGUCUGUGCAGUGGCACCUUUGUCUUUUUUUGCUUUUAGACAAUAAAAUUAAGGCUUAUUAUGUACAGUAAUUCUAGUCAGCAAAUAGUUGCAUGAACAGCAGGUAUGCUCUGUACUGCUUUAUAUAAGGAAGGAAUUUCCUUUUCCAUACCUUACUGGUCUCAACUUGAAAUACAAGGUGAAGUUCACUUUUACCAUUUCUCACUAUUAUAGGUAACAGGAUAUCAAAAUCAUAUGAGAAAAGUUUAACCUGAAAUUAGGUUUUGUUAAAGAAAUCUUAACAAAGUUAUUUUGAAUAAGUAACUCUAUGCACAUCAAAACCAACUAUUAUAAUGUGUGAGAAGUGUCAUAUAGUGUAUGAACAAAAGUGUUCAGAUACUACCUAGAAACAAAAAUGAGAUGAAGCAGAUGGUAGGAAACCGCAAAGAAGGAAAGGUGAACUGUAUAGUUAGGUUAGAUUAAAUGUGCGUAGACAUAGAUAUAUUUAAAAAACAUUUUAAAACAUGAUUUAUAUGUAGAGUUGGUAAGAAUCAUUCCACUGAAUGUAGUAGUUAUAUCUCUGACUUUAGUGCAACUAAUAUAAGAGCGAGACUCUAUGUUUAAAAGUAAUUCUCUGUGGACAAGACUAUAAAACAUAUUGGGACAGGCAGGAGGGUACUGUCACUUCCCAAUAGUGACAUAUGCUGAAUUUGCAAAAAACUGUAUUUUUUACAUGUGAACUCCAGAUGUUCAGCCAGUCAUGCUGUAUUUUUUCCCUGUUGUCUUAAGUCACCACUAAUUGUCCUGGAGGGUAAGUCAUGACAUAAUCACACUUAGGAAAUACUCCAUUGCCUUGAGCUGCUUUACCUGAGCAGAACUGGAUAGAAAUUAGUGAUGCUCUUGCUGCUGUAGGCUAAAACAAUCACUAGCAGCUCACACUUCCUUUGCUGUUGAAGGGGACUAAAAAUGAGUAACAGUUUAUUUUCCCUAAUGAAAUAAUCUGAUCGACUCGCUGCUACACAAGAUGCCCACCUUAGAGCAGUACGUGCAUCUGAGAAUCCAGAUUUCAUGCUGAGCACAUAGAAUGUUUAUGCUUCUGUGACUCAUAGAUUAACAAUAAUUAUAAGCUGCAGUCAUGUUUACACUUCUUCCAUGGGAAGGGUAAACAUCCUUUAUAUACAUUACUGUAUGGGAUGUUCUGAUAAUUUAAUGUUCGACAUAUUUUACAGUUGGAAUUGCAGACUCAUUGAGAGGUCAGCUCAAGGGCAUUCAGGAUUCCCGAAAUCUGAUGAACUCAUUGCAGUGACAAACAUACGUAGCCAUCUCUCUGUGUUAGGGUUCUGAUUUGGAUCACAAUGUUCCUCUUUCAGUCUUGUUUUCUGUUUAUACACAUAAAAAUAUGUAGUGGCAAAAUAGAACGUGUUUUAUUUAUUUCUAAUGUAAGCUUUUUCCCGUGUGUAUUAUUUUUGCACGGUUUGAACUUUGGAGGAUGUCAAAACCAAAAGUGUUCUGAUACUUAGGGCAGAGUCCCAGACCCUGUGUUCCAAUUCACAGUAAGGCUGAAAUAACCAAAAUGAAGAGCCGUGACACUGGUCGGAUCCCAAGCAGUCCUUUUACUUUUCCCCAAUAAAUAUUUCUUUCACGUUUAUUUGGACUAGGGUGGUUCAGUCUCAUCUGUAUGUGUGUUGGUAGAGAAGCAGGAUAUAUACAUGUAUGUAUGUCUCACAAGUCUUUAGACUAAGGGGGUCAAACUCAUUUUCACCGGUGGCCACAUCAGCCUGGCAGUUGCCUUCCAAGGGCCAGAUGUAAUUUUAGGACUCUAAAUGUAAUUUUAGGACUGCAUAAAUAGUCCUAAAAUUACAUUUUUGCAAUUCACCUUUCUGUGCAUGCUUACUGGUCCUGUAUUGGAUAUUCCCUGCACCAAGUGUUUAGAUAUUGCAGGCCCUGCUUUAUUUUCUUCUGGAUAUAUUUACUUUUUGCAGUUUCUCUUCUGUUUGCCCAUGGCACAAUAGUACCAGUUCACGGGGUGUGGAUUUUAUUUCUGUUGCUGAUGCUGUCUCUUGAUCUGAGAAGUUCAAGCAGUGUUCUUGGUACUUUAGGAAGCUGUAUUAAGACAUAACUGUGAGCUGUAAUUUCUUUAUAGGAAUGCAAAAAGCUCUGUUGGUUGAAUACAAGUUGUCAACAAUUGAAGACGGUUUCCUACUCACAGGCUUAGACCACUACAGCUGCCACUCCUACUUAGGAGCGAGUUACUUCUUUGAGCUCAUGGUUCACAAAGUUAGAGGUUAGCCCGUGUCUGUUUAUUUUUGGUGGACAGCGCAGGGUAUGCUCCCUUGUAUUUAUUAUAGGACAUUUUUUUCCAAAAACUGAUGCUUUGAAAUACUGCAGACAAACCUUUUUUUGGGUUGCAGGAAACACUUCCCAACUCUGAGAUUCUUAACAUGUGAUCCAUAUUACAGUUUCUUUAGGGAUUAUGUAUAUACUGAUUGAAUUUUUGGCUUUCAUUAGUAUAGAGUGCCAUGAGUUUUCUGGUUUCUGUUAUUCACCUUUCCACAAGGCCCAGGCAAUUUUAAAGCUAAACUGAGGGAAACAAACAAACAAACAAACAUAUAUGUAUGCCAUUCAGUUGCAUUCAGUUGCAAGACUGGAAACAAAAGGUCUCAGGUGAAAACCUAAUUGUUUGUGAAUUUGUUUUAUGCAUUAAUGUUGUGUAAUGAAGCUUCAGAAGGCAGGCUGCACAGUGCCUCUGAUCCAGACCGCUCAUUCUAACUGCAACAAAAUCACUUUACAUAUUUCUGAUGUUUAGCUUUUCUGACCUAGAGAGCAAACAGACCUCCAGAGUUUGAUGAGAGAAAUGUUUGAUUUUUAAAUUUCAUUUUAAAUAUUUGUUUUAAAAGGAUGAUUGGGAGAGGUAAUUUCUUAAGGCUAAUGGGAACCUCAGAAGAAAUUGUAGUUGAGUAGAAAGUAUAUACAUAAAUCAGGAAAAAGGAAAUGUUUGAGGCUUCUUAGUAUGUCCUUGGUACUAGAUGGUGAAAUAGUUUUCAGAACUAGAAUGUUGAAGAAGGGUUGUGAGGAAUUCAGUGAAUGGAACAAGAAAGUGGAAGCAUCCUUGGCACGCCGUUGACUCCCCUCCUACACAUGGUGCCAUUUCCACAUAAAUAACGUUUACCAAAAUUCUGAUUAGCGUCCACUUGAGAGGCAAGAAACGGAAAUGGUGAUGUUAUGUUCCUCUGGAGCUUCAUCUAUAAAGCAGAAAAUCCAUCAAUCAUCCUGGCAGGACAGGGAAAAGCAGUUUGCAGCAGUUUUAAAUUCAAGUAAUUGAUGUAGUGGUUUUUAGACUGAAGUGAAGAAAUAAUGCCAUAUAGAUAUCACCUGCUUGAAACUCCAGCUCUUGUUUCAAUAUAUUAUUGUCACAAGCAAGAGUAAGGAUAUUCAUAGUAAUAGAAGAGUUGUCCAUUACACUUGAAGUAGACGGGCAUUUUGAAACUUUCUGGUCUCAAAAAGAACUCAUGGAACAUGAAAAAAUAGUAUUUCCGAGGAGUCUGCAUGCCAGUAUCAGUUCAGCCUUAGCACUAUAUAUGAGUCUAACGUGGAUUUACAGAUAAAUGUGUGGAUUAUAGAAGAUUAACUCGGCAAACCACAUGAAGAAAACCACGUAUUUAUUGAAAGUGAUAACUCCUGAAAAAAGCCACUGUGGCUAUUUUUCUUGGCUAAAUUUGUCUGAGAUAUCACCAUGUGGCACAAGAACUUACACUUAUGGUACAGGGAAUGAUGCCUGUUUCGGAUCUUUUGGGCUCUAAAUGAAAUGUUUUCUCCAUUUAAUUAUAUUUAUGUAAUAUGUAACGAUUGCUGCUGGGUUAAUGUACAUUUUAGAGCAGAUGGCUGUUUGUUUGGCAAAAUUAUUUUACCACCUUUUUGCCCUAAGCUGUAGAGGAAGGACCACCGGGAAACGUAGCUGUAUGGUUUUCAUUACAGUUUCUGAUGGGAACUACUAAUUAACUGAACUACUAUUUAACUGAACAAAUGGAGAGUCCAGCACAUAAUGGAGUAGAUUUGAGAAUGUAAUUUGAGGAUUGAUUGACACUGAUUUCCAGUGUCCCUUCCCCUGAGUUUACUGCUUGACGUUGAGUAAGUCUUGUGACAUCUCCAUUUGCUUUGCCAUCUGAACUUUGCACUAAUGACAACACUGACUUACUGUCGUAAAUGUUUUAAAGGUUAAAAGGCUGCAGAAUAUUAUGUAUUUGGUCCAUGAAAUGAAGAUCAUACUCAGUUUUUACUUAUUUAAUCUUUAGAUAAAAUCUCAAACAAGUUAACAGAAUGACAUCAGUACCUGACGCAUUAUGACUUUUUAUUGAUAAGCUUAUCUGCUUGUGGCUGAACUGCUUAGAAGUCAGCUGUGAGAAAGUUAAUUAUGUUAGGCCUUGGAUAAACAAAAUAAUAAAUGAUCUCUACACUGGGAUCCUUUACAUGCUGGCUUCUUUGGGAGCUAGUCUUAAGUGAGUUCUAUUUAGUACAAUUGUGACAUCCCAGUUCAAGUGUGUGCAGAUACACAGACACCUUUAAAAGGACAAAUUUCAGAAACACCGUUUUUGGACUUUAAGGAUUUCCACCAAAAUCACGGUUAUCGUGUACCGACUUAGGGAAUAUUCCUGUUUCUCUGAGAGCUGGUUGAAAUAUUGUCAUAAUCUGAAAUUUACUGAAAUGAUAUCUUUGAAGCAAACGUAAAGAUGCUGUUGCAAGAGUGUUAUGGCUUGGAGGGAGACUCAGAGUUUUUGUUGGAUCCUCUGAUAUAGCUGGAAAAAAAAGAUCUUUUGAGACCAUCUCUGCCUCCUCAAAGUGGCUGGUCUGUCUCUCCCUACAAACUUUGCUUCUAUUCUAUCUGUAGACCAUCACAUUUGUAUUAUAACUGCUAUGACUUAUAGAUAAAACUACUUGUAGUAGGUUUUUUUUACCUGAUUUCUGAAAUGAUGGUGACGGCCAUUAGCUGACCCAACAGCUUUAAAAAACAAAACGUGAUCUCCCCCAUCUCUUAUUUCCCGUGAGCUCUCCAGGAAGUGUCUCAGAAUGAAAGAAAAGCUAUGAAUUUGCCAGAUAAUGAAUCAGGCUCUUGGUUCAUUGUGCUUUCCUGUAGACAAAAUUAUAGGUUUCUUGUAAAUUUAAAGGAAGUGGAGUGAAGGAGUUCACUUUCAUGAUACUGAGGGCAGCCACACGGUUGAUCAGCGGUUGAGGAGAAAGCUGUGCUUUGGGUAUCACUGAUUUCCAGAGGCACUAGUGGAGCCUGGUGGGUUGUCCCCAGCUGGCAGGUCACCCCCCACCCAGACACUUGCUCACUCCACCCCCCAGCAACACAGGGGAGAGGACUGGAAGGGCAAAUGCAAGAAAGACUUACGGGCUGAGAUAAGGACGGUUUAAUAAGGUCACAAAUCUAACCCACAGCACUGUAUGGGCUGCUGUGAAGAAAAUGAGCCCCACCCCAACCAGAGCCAGUGCAAGAAGUGGCAAAGUGUAACUUCAAAAAACAGAGGCUGGGGAGGACACCGGCAUUUUGUUAGCAUUUACGUGGGUCUUGCAAUUUUCGUUUAAUAGAAGCAGGCAAGCAUUUGUUUCUCAGUUUUGAAUGGGGAAACCUGAAGCAUUAAGUUAUCAAGAGAUUUGCUCAAAGUUGCAUAUAAAAUCAAAAGACCAUGAGCUGAAGAAGCAUUAAAUGCUUGAGCUACAAAACAUUGAAAAGACUUUAGAAAAGAGUACAAAUACACAAGCAAUUUUGUAGAUGUGAUGUCUGAUAAAAAUAGGAUCAGAAUUCAUUUAUUACUAUGGCUAAUAGAAGAAAUCAUGUUUAGUAUACUUCGAAAACAAAAUUUGUUUCUUUCCGAGGCUCACUAAUGGAUUAAUGUCAAUCUAAACUAGACGAUUAUACUAGGAAUAACUUUCCAGCCUCUCCUUUUCCCAUCUCCGUUAGUCAUGUCGCCAACCUCAGCAAAAUUCUGAGAAAUACAUUCCUGCAGAGCUAUAUAAUGCAAAUGGAACCGGACUCUGCCAGAGCAGCGCCUUCCAAAUUUACCUGCACAUCUCCAUAACAACUGCAGGGUGUUUUUUGCUUUUGCCACAGGGCAACAAUAAUACCUGUUAUGUCAAUGGCUUUCCUCUAGCUCUUCUGACAGAGCACAUGACAUUCAAAGUGCUGUUAACCCCAGGGUGAUCCCUAUGUAUUUAUUCCUGCACCAGGCAACAGGUGGGAUUGCAGAAGAGGGAUCUUAUGUGCUUGGGCAGAGGCAAAUAGAACUGAAACUGGCUUUCAUGUAUGUUGUGUGAGGACUGCUGUGAGAAAAGGAUUUUCCUGAUGGUUUGAGAGCCUCGUGCUCCUUCAGGUGCCCCGUUGGAAAGAAGAGACGCUUUAGCGUGGAGCAGUGAGGUGCUGUCCAUGCUCUUAGUGCAGCUUGCAAACCGCUUGCUGCGGUUCCAGUCUGGAGCUGGUUUGUCCUGCGGUGCUGCUGGGACUGCCUGGAAGUUCAUAGGCUGCUCCUCCCUGGUGCGCAAAUGCUGUGAGCCUUGCUAGAGGAGUCAGCCUGAUGCUGAUUUGGUCUGUAUCUGUCCUGCUACGGCCUUAGUCUUACAAAGAAACCUGGAUUCUUCAGGAUCCAUGGGUGCAGAUAGCGGGAAAGGGCCCUGCCCGCCUCUCCAAAUCCCUCUGCUCCUCUCCUUGUACAGAGGCUUCCCUGUGUGUGGAAAUGGGUAAUUUCCACAGUUCUCUCCAGCCCUCUGAGAGUGUCAGCCUUGCAGGGACUGUGCCCCGUUUGCCUUGUCUGUAGACUGGAUGGGUUUAGCUAAAUGCAUCAUGAGAUGUGGUAGAGUGAAGUGGUGGAAUGGGGAGGCGAUCCCUUUCUCAAAGGGCAGCACGCUCAAUAUGAUGGGGACUGGCAAAAGUGUAUUAUUGCUGUUACUUCAGAUGAGCAAUGCUGAGUAAUUUGAAUACAUAUGUGUGCCAUUUAUGGUUCUUGAUUUCAAAUCUGCGUGAGAGACAUACUUCAUUUUCUCAGCAUUUUCUCACUAUUUUGAAAGUAAUAUGAUAUUGUUUGAUCCUUGCAGAAGAUAAGAUGGGAAGACGUGUGCAUGUAGCAACUCGUAUGGAAGCAAACUGGGAAAUACCUGCACUACGUGUGUUUGAUGCAAAUACGUGAUCUUGGCUGGUGAUGAUCCAAAGUAUGAUGUUGUGGCUUAACAUGCAGAAGCCAUCUUGCCACUGCUACAGGGCAUAGCAUUCAAAGAGGUUGUUUUUCCAUAUAUUCCCUCCUUCACUGAAGCAGAGAAAAAUAGCCAGCAAUGGUGUGGAGGCUUGUAGUGCUGGGGGUUGUAGCAAAAGGCCUUGAGAACAGGCCUCCUUCACACACCUUUCAUCCCUGAAAGUCAAGCUGGCAGAUUGCGCUGCUUCCCAGGCUGCGUGAUGCAGCAUCCAGGUGUUGGAUGGAUCACACAAAUCUGACAUAGCUUAAACACUGUAUGGAGACACAGCCAAUCUUUGGUUCAUGUCCCUAUUUUUUUACACAAGGAGCCAGAGAACUUUAAAGUUCCCUGGUGUUGGAAAGUCUCUACAAAUAUUAAGAAUGAACCAUCUUAAGACACUGGAUUCAGAGCUUUUCCUACAGCCGGAAAGUGUUGAAGGUGGGGUAUUGUUUGUUUUAUUAAGGUAUCCAAAAUAAUGAAAGUACUGCUUUGUAUUCUCUGGAUUUCUGUGUAUGUAGCCUGAGGCACAUAGCACAUGCCCUGGCACAUGGUUUUGGGCAUAUAACUCCUCCUUUCAGCAUACCCUUCAUAAGAGGCUGCUAGUGAGGCUACUGAAAGAGGAAAAACAUUAGUGAAAUCAUGUACAUAUUGUCUGACCAUUGAACAAAUAUGCCUCUGAACUAUGCUCUUAAAGAUAUUUUAUCACCAAAAGACACCCAGGAGCAUGCUAACACAGCAGCAGACUGGGUAACUGAGAGGUGAGUGUACAGGAGCAAACCAGCUUAAUAAUGGAAUGAAUCAACAAAUCUUUAUAAGGAGAUUGCUUAUCAUAGUAUCUAAGCUGCUGCUAGUAGUGUAAAGUAACAGAAAUUAACUUCUGGCAUUCGCUCUGGUAUAUUUUUCCCAAGAAAAGCUUGGAUUACUUUACUUGCCACAUGUCUGCUGUUGAUUUUUGUUUGAAAUCUGUGUGUUGCACUGUAUUUGGGAGAAGUGGAAGCUGAAAAUUUGCUGUAUGCUUGAAAAUGAUUAGCCUGUAUAUACUGAGAGGAUUGUCAACAUUUAUCACUGGCAAUCUUCUAGCGUUGCCAUUUAAAAUUCUAAAAGCUGAUGUCAAACCUCAAUAAACUUCUGUGGGGAGGUCAGAAUACAUGCAGUGACAUCCUGCCUUGUGCAUAUCCUUCCAUAAAUGAUGCCGGGCUCCCUUAGCACACCUCUGUGAAGAACAUCUCUACUUGGAUGUGCUCAACUUUCACAUUAAUCUGUGAGUCAUGUUAAUGUUUAGCUGCGUAUCUCGUGUCACGCUGAUUUACAUACAACAGUCAGGCUAUUAAUGUCUAUUUAAUGAACCAGGUGCAUCACUUCCUAGACGCUUACUGAGGAAAUGAGGUGCGAUGUAGCUGUAGGACAUGGUCUUUGAUUUCUUACAGUUUGCAUUGUUCUGAGCUUUGUUUUCAGUUCUAUUUGUGCAGCAAAACACAGUGAGUAUUGAAGUCUCUGAGCCAAUGCAGGAAAAGCAGAAGCUGUAACACAGCAGUUUGAGCCAUCAGGGUUCGGUGCUCAAGACUGUCACGUUUCUUGUUCUGGAGGUCCCCAGUUCAGCCCUUGAUGUGUCAGCCAGGAAAGUGGCUGUCACAGCUGUACUCGUGACUUUCUGAAAUGUUCUCACCACCAAACGAAAUUAGACUGAAUCUGGACUUAACCAUGUCAGUGGCACUACGGGAAAAUGUCAUGGAACAUUUUGGUAUGGGUAAGGACGGAGUCUGAAACUGAGACUUAAUCAUUGACUCUUGAAUAUUUACAGGACACUGUUUGUGUGGCUUUCCCGUUCAUGUGACGCUGCAAACCGAGAGGAGCGAUUCCCCGUGCUGUGCAUGACUCUGCAGUUGUGUGAUGGCUUUGCUGCAUGAGGCAGCUGGGGAUGUAAAAAUAGCUCUGCUUACUCACAUACAGCUGAUGAUUGCAGAAAAACACCGCUCGGGGGUAAGGCUGGAACACCUUGUGCUUCUUUCCCAUUACCAACAGCAAAUGGAAAGCAAGGUGAAAAAACAUGGGGGGAGCACUUGCAUUUUCUUUUCAGCAUUUGUUUUUUUCUUAUUCCUUUUUGUGGGAUCAGGUAUUUCUUACAGUAUGGAGGUCCAGCCAUUUCUUACUCCUGUGCUGUUUGCUAGGGUGAUCUGUCCCAUGUUUCUGUAAUUCAGGAUCUUUGUAAGGACAAACAGUUUUUAUUCCUUUGAUCUGUCCAUCUCAGUCACCUUCCAGAUCCACUCACAUACCCACCGGUGUCAUUGCAACGUACAGAACAUCCCAUUGCCUCAAUGUGUCAUUGCCAUGUAAAUGCAGAUUUUCUCUGAAAGUUAAUUACAAGGCUUUUAAAAGAAUCUUUUUCAUAUAAACAUUCCACGCUAAAAAUGUGUUUCCAUGGUAUUAUAAAAUUUUGUAUAGGAAUAGAAAUUAUAUUACAAUCAUAGGAGCUGGUUAUAUAUUGUUCUAGUUAGACACACGCGCGGUGUAUAAUGUACAGUCUUUGCACUGAUCACAGAAUCACAGAAUUGACUGGGUUGGAAAAGACCUCAGAGAUCAUUGAGUCCAACCCUUGGUCCAACUUCAGUCCAUUUACUAGAUCAUGGCACUAAGUGCCAUGUCCAGUGUCAGUUUAAAAACCUCCAGGGACGGCGAGUCCACCACCUCCCUGGGCAGCCAUUCCAAUGCCUGAUCACUCUCUCUGGAAAGAAUUUCUUUCUAAUAUCCAGCCUAAAUUUCCCCUGGCAGAGUUGAAGCCCAUGCCCCCUUGUCCUAUUGCUGACUGCCUGGGAGAAGAGACCAGUCCCCACCUGGCUAUAACUUCCCUUCAGAUAGUUCUAGAGAGUGACGAGCUCACCUCUAAGCCUCCUCUUCUCUAGACUAAACAAGCCCAGCUCCCUCAGCCUCUCCCCAUAGGUCUUGUGUUCAAGUCCCUUCACCAGUCGUGUUGCUCUUCUCUGGACCCGCUCCAGCACUUCAAUGUCUUUCCUGAACUGAGGGGCCCAGAACUGAACACAAUACUCCAGGUGUGGCCUCACCAAUGCAGAGUACAGGGGAAGGAUCACUGCCCUUGUCCUGCUGACCACGCUAUUUUUGAUACAGGACAGGAUACCGUUGGCCUUCUUGGCCACCUGGGCACACUGUUGGCUCAUGGUGAGCUUCCUGUCAAUUAGUACCCCCAGGUCCCUUUCUGCCUGACUGAUAUAACAUACUGGAGAAAUCUAGAUGAUAAAGUGCAUCAAUCUGUGCGUUCAGUUGAGUCCCUCAUUCUCUUCCAGAGUACUAAUGAUUUUUUUAGUUACUCUGAAGCCAUAAAUAGAUACUUAGUUCUUGAGCUUGGGCUUUCAGGUUUAUUUCAUGUAUAUCACAACCCAACCUAAGUCAGUAUAUUUCAAUCUGCCGAUAACUAUCGAGUCCCGUUUGAAACAGUUUUCAUUCCAAAAGAUUACGGAUUGCACCCAUUUACUUCAGAAAUCCUGUGAGUCACUGCAUUGAAGAGAAACUGAAAGCGCCCUUCUAAUAUUUUUUAAUCAAUUUCUACAGUAGUACCCAGAUAGUUCACUAACGGGUCAGGACUCCACAGGCUCUUCAUGUGUCACUGAGGCACCAGAGAUCAAAGUUCUGACUCCACGCAGCUGGAAGUCACGAUAAAAAGAUCACGUUACAAUGAGUUCCAAGGUCACUUUCUGGUUACGUUUCUCCAUUUAAAUAAAAAGAACAUAGCAAGAAGGAUGGGAAGAUUACUGUAGGGGUGUUAGCAGGAAAAUGACCAGUGAAAAACCUCCAAGGUAGAUUAGUCACAAGAAAGCAAGCCUGUGGGUUUAUGUACUUUCAGUCAACAGGAUUUCAUUAUUUACAGGAGCGUUUCCGUAGUGGUUCAUGGUGGAGAAAAGUUUUCAGUGGCCUUCAAGAAAUGAAACCAGCAAAUUCUGGUAAUCUGUAUAUUUUUAUUGGGCUGAUAUCCUUCUCAAAACAUAAGUUAUUUCCAUCUUUAUUACAUCUUUAUACAGCUGUAUCAAAGCUGUAAUAUGAAGAGGUCCAAAUCAUAUUUUACAGUAAGAUUUGUAAACAUUUCCCCGUUAGCAAUUGUUCCUUUUCUCUGUCUCACUUUUGUACUUUUUGUGAUCUAAAUAGGGGGGUGUGACAUGUUUGGUUUUCAGUAAAGUAAAAGGAAGUACAUACAGUGAGUUUACCAAGUUUGUCACCCCUGGCUAAUAAAUUAAGUUGCCUCAUCUUUGUGGAAGCCACACUUUCCCAAUAGUCUUCUAAUUCAAUAUUGAAAAGAAGAAAAAUCCCUAUAGCCUAAUUAAUAGAUGUGUUCAGUGGAGCCCUUUAUAAAAUGUUGAAUAAAGCAAAACAUCCACUUACCAGGAAACCGCUGUAGGUUUCAUUUAACAUUUCUUGAACUUUAACUAAACAUUCUAGAAUGUUUAUCUGGCUCAGUAGAAAUACACUGCAAAUUGCUAUUUCUUAGUAAUAAUAAUGUUACUGAGCACUCUUCAGCUGCUUUUCACAGGUAAGGAAGUAUUCUUAUUCCCCUUUUAGUGAUAGGAAUCCUUGGAUGAAGAAGAAUUAAGGGACAAUUAAAAAAUAUAAGCAGAGAAAAACACGUGUGUUAAAACAUAACAGAUGCCAAAUAGAUACAUUUAAUCUAGAUAUAAGUGGGGGGGAGGGUGUCAGAAAGAACAGAGUGAGACAAAAUUAAAUCUGUUGUAGUACCUCUUCAUUGCAAAGACACACUGUUCUGUUUCGUAUUGAUGUCCUGACAGCGUCAUUCAUUUUUCCAUACUAUUUCUACAUGUUUUUCUCUAGAAAGAAUCAAAAACGCAAAGCCAAUAAGUGCAUUCACAUUGAGAACAGAAUGUGCUCUUUCACGAGUUUCGUCUGUGUCAUCGUUUUCCCAUAAUGUAUGUUACAUUUUACAUGCUGCCUCUCAGUUUCCUUCUUUACUACCAGUAAAAGCUGCCAUGUUUUUAGUAAUGCUAUUUCCUGUAGCCAAUGUAGGAAAAUACCUCCAAUUUUGUUCUAGAGAAGGAGGCAAAUUCUAUACCAGAAAUUCAGUUCUUCCUCUCACAGAUUUCUUCUAAUGUAAUUUCAAAUAAGCCUAACCUGUGCUUCAGAACCAGCUAACUUAAACUUACCAUGGGAAAGCCAUUGAAACUAAAUUUAUCAUUCAUCUGAGUUUAUACUCACAGCCUGAAUCUGAUGUCCUUUCCCACAAUCACUCAGGUUUCUGUUUCUGUCCUGAACUCUUUCAUUUUUAGCUCUCAGCCACUUCCUUUCUAUUAUUAUGAUCGUACCAAUCCUGUUGGUGUACAGUCACAUUUAAUGUUGAUUUAUUUUAAAAAGAAUGAAAAAAAAUUCCAUCUGACUGCUCAGAAGUCAAACAUCAUGGAAGAAGCUGAGAAGUGAUGCUGUUAGAAAAAUCUCAGCUGCUAUUCAGCAGUUUCAGUAAAAUACUGAACAUGGUUCAGAGAAGCAGGACUUGAUCAUGGCCAUCUUCAUUUGUAAAUGGCAUCUCUGAGAUUGUUCAUAAAAUGUCCUUUACAAUAAUAUUGAAGAGAUUAAUCACAUAGUUUCCAUAUUUUUAUCAGUUUUCUUGCUUUCCUUGUUUGCAACUGGCAGCUUAGGAGUGGAUGGCAGCAGAGGGAAACAGUGAAAAUUUUGAGUCUUCUACUCCCUUUUCACAGCAUUUUUCUGUUGUUUGAUGUUCUGGUUUUUCUCCAGGUUUCCAGGUAUCCAGAUUCAGUGAGUUUAGUUUUCUGGCUCCUACUUCUGGUGAGAAAAGCAUCCCCAGCAAGAACAUAGCUAUUGUGUAGAUUUUGCUUAAACUCUCACAAUUUAACCCUGCCAGGUGGAUAACAUCACCAAGCCAACCCCGUCCUUCAGCUGGUAUUGGUGAUCCAGCAAUCACGUAGCCCAGAGCUGUCAAGUGCUGCGUUUGGCCUGUUGAAGGACUAGUGGACCCACCACUCCUGGCAGUGGACAAGCCUCCCGGGUGACACUGCUUCUGCCUGUAUGUCUGGGAGCAGCAGCAGUUCUGCUGGUACCUCUGCAGUCAGCGUGUCCUGCAGUGGGACAUCCAGGACAGCCUGCUGGGCCACCUGCCUGUGACAAACAGCCGGCCCUGUCUGUAUCCCAGGUGGUGAUGCCACUAACGGGGAUCAUCAGCUCAUGGUUGCGUAGCGGGCAUGUGUGUCUGAACAUGCACAUGUGUGUGUAUUUUGAAUUUUGCUUUAUUUGCCUUUCCCACACAUUCAUCAGAACUGAGAUAGCAAAGACAUUAUCGUUUUCCCUGACUUACAGAGCACUUGUUAUCAGCAUCAUCCCUGCUCUGUGUGUGCUGCAGUGUGGUUUUCUGGGGCUGACUCUGGCACUCAUUGAUCCUCACAAGAUAAGAAUUCCUACCCAGUUAGCAAAGUCCCUUGACUGAAGUGCCCAUGCUCUGAAGUUUUCAUUUGAUUCAGAUACACAUUUUUGCUCUAAAUCCACAGUGCAUCCAAGGUUCAUUGUCAUGAAAACAACCAUAGUUGUGAUGACACACUCUUUAAAAUCAGUAACGUCGCCUGGCUGUGGAAGGCAGCGGUGGCUUUGGACAGGCUUAGAUUUGAGGUUGUUAAUCAUUACUAUGUUUGGUUUCUUAAUCAUUAGAAUAUUUUGUGAGGCACAGCUCUGCGCUGUGACUUCACAUCAUCUUUCUGUCGUCCUUCCCCAUGGGGUGGGUGCUUCCCCUCGUGCUGAGUUGUCCUGGGAAGGAUUCUUGAGAAGCACGUGGGGAGUUUCACAUACCCUGUUAUGUAAAGGUAACGUAACACACAUAGUCCGUGUGUAGGUCACAUCAGUCAUCGGGGUGAUUUCUAGUUGUGACUGCACUGACUUGAAACUGGUUAUAAGAGUAUCAGAUGAUUGGCGUGAAUGUGUGUCAUGUCACUAUCAAAACAAUUCUCUCUGCUGUCAUUAGUUGUGAGCUUCUAGUUCACAUAACCUGUUUCCUCAAGAGCUCUGCAGCUGGAAAGUCUGAUUUGUUUGUCAGAAGAAUUAGGUAGAUGGAGCGCAAUAAUUUGGAUUGAAAUUGCUUUGCAUCAGUUUGCUUUCUUUUUUACUGAUUUAAAAAUAAAAGUAAAGGUUUUUCAUCAAAAGCAAAAAGGUUAACAUAAAAUUAAAAAGUAAGUUGGAAGGAUUCACAGAAAUCGCAGUGCAGAUUCGCUAGCCCACUUUAAAAAAGCCUCCUUUCAUGAAUUUAGGCUGUUUUAUGGUCCUCGGGCUAUUAUAAGCCCUGUGCUUUGAGUCAUGUGUGCCAAGUUUUGAUAUUUUCUAGUUUUUUAACAUAUUUGCCAUAUGUCUUUCAGGUUAGAUAGCUUGAACUUUGAAGUUCACUGAUUUGAUAUCAUAUUAGUCCUCUGGUUUACUAUCCCCUUCCAUUCCCUCAAUCCUUCACCAUUUAAUCUACUAUUUUAUCAGCUGAAUCUUACCUUCUCUUGUACGGUCUUGGGGCACAAUGGAAAUUAGAUCUGAGACUCCUCUUCAAGCCUUUGCCCUACUGUAAAACAACAUAAAGUCAACACCGUUAAUUAAUGGAAAGAAUUGAUUUAAUCAUUGUCUUUGCUGAAAAAAAAAACAGUUUCUCCUGUUCAACAAUUUUCCUCUUUGCAGUCCAGCAGGGACUUUGCCUGAUGAAAAAGCUGAACAACAUGACUCAUGAAAUUACAUACAGGCUUCAAUUUGUGUAUUAGUGGCCUAUUUGAAAAUAGUUUAUGCUGUUCACAAGCAUAAAAUUUAAGUUUUCUAUAAGCUUUUUGCAAGAUUAUGAGGCCUUGGUAUAAUAUUUGUGCUGGUAUUGUUUAGACAGAUGAAAUUAUAUUUCAGUUAACCUUGAAUAAAGAAAAGGGCAAAUAAAAGCAGAGGAGGAUUUCAAAUUAGAAGCUAAACUAUUGCUAUUCAGCAUUAAAUAUACUUUUGCAGAAAAAUGUUCUCUAGAUUUUCGUUUCUACUUAAACUGCCCGUGUAUUAAACUAAUAGCUGCAGAAUGCUCUAGAAUAACUGUAUUUUGGAUUAAAAAGUCUCCAUUCUUUUCCCACACUUGUGCAGAAGGUUACUGGGGAAAAUGCCAAGCUGGGGAACUAGAAGUUACCAUGUAAACAUAUACCUAAUAAUAUAUGUGUAAAUAUACAUAUAUGUAUACACACCACAGUAGUGUUGACCAUGUUCUUUUCCUGUUCUUGUGUCCCAGUAUGAUACUUUGGGAAAAGUAACAAAUACAGUAUUCAGAAGAACAGAACACAUAUAAAAUCAACACAGAAAAAAAUGGCAAGUCCAGUAUUUCCAAUGUUUCUAAUCUGUUCUGUUGUCUAAGGCCUUAUUUGAUAAAUAACCAAUGUUCUUUUCUUUUCUUCUCUUUGCCAGAGUCCUACACUCUCCUGGGACCUGACUGCAACUUAAAAAAUGUGUGAUAAUAGCAUAAUAAUAAACAAAUAGCACUUGCUUAUCUGUCUUGGAAGGGGCAUCUGAGCACCUCUGGCUUCAGCCCAUCUGCUGCUGGAGGGACAGGGAGGUGACACAGAGCAGGGGGACCUGCAGAUCCCUCAGACCUCCCCUCUUCUGUCCCACCUGUGUGGAAAGCUCAGAAUAAAUCACCUCAUCCACUUUCUUCC